rnacentral:rRNA from 1 species
GACCAUCAGCUAAGGUCCCCAAAUAUAUACUAAGUUGUUUUAACGUUGUGUGAUUACUUUGACAGCUAGGAUGUUGGCUUGGAAGCAGCCAUUCAUUUAAAGAGUGCGUAACAGCUCACUAGUCGAGUGAUCGUGCGUGGAUAAUAAUCGGGCAUAAGUAUAUUACCGAAGCUGUGGAUUUUAUGGUAGGGGAGCAUUCUGUUCUGCGUUGAAGCAGUACUGCGAGGUAUUGUGGAGUGUACAGAAAAGCAAAUGUAGGCAUAAGUAACGAUAAAGCGGGCGAGAAACCCGCUCACCAAUAGACUAAGGUUUCCUCAGCUAUGCUAAUCAGCUGAGGGUUAGUCGGGACCUAACGCGAACCCGAAAGGGGUAGUGGAUGGACAAGCAGUUAAUAUUCUGCUACCUGCUCACGUUAAAAGUGACGGAGGCGAGAAGUUAGUGCGCACUGACGGAAUAGUGCGUUGAAGGGAACAGUAAUGUCCUGAUAGUACAGUAAGGCUACGGCCGCGCUGAUAAUCUAGCAAAUCGACUUCCAAGAAAACCGAGUGAAGCAGCCCGUACCGUAAACCGACACAGGUAGUCAAGGAGAGAAUCCUGAGGUGCUCGAGUGAUUCAUGGUUAAGGAACUAGGCAAAAUAGCCCUGUAACUUCGGGAGAAGGGGCUCCAACUUCGGUUGGACGCAGUGAAAAGACCCAGGCGACUGUUUAUCAAAAACACAUGGCUGUGCGAACGUGAAAGCGGAUGUAUACGGCCUGACACCUGCCCGGUGCUGGAAGGUUAAG